AAACAGUUAAUACAAGUGAAUUGGUUACAGAUGCCAUGACUCUAAGAAAUAAUACCGAGCAAAUAGUUAUACUGAUGAAAGAAAUGACUCCAGAUUACUUCGACGCUUCGCGUGUUAAAGCUAACUCCAUAAUCGCCAAGGCUAGGGAUAUAGCUAGUAUGGCUAACGUUAUGACUGAAAGGGCGAAAUCAAUUUGUUGAAGCAAAUGAUUAUAGCUACCAAGCCUCCUAUUUAUGUUAUACAUUCAAAAAAUUAACUAGAUAUGGUCCUAAAGACUUAUUUGGAAAAUUUACAAUUAAAUUGAUUUAUUAACAUGGUCAUUUUUUCUUAUUUUUUAUAAUAGUAAUUUGCUAAUAUUUUCAAGUUUUUUAAAAAUAAUUUACUAUUGUCUUAUUAUUAUUUCGAUAUCAUAAUAAAAAUUU